GUUGUAUAUCGGAUGAUCGCCGGGUGUAUAUCUAUUUCUUAGAUACAUAUCUAUUAGAAAUAGAUAUAUGUCGGGAGGAAAGUCCGGGCACCGCUUUGACGCAAUGUCGAAGGAGUGAUAGCGGCUAACGGCCGCCUUCCGCAUUAUGCGGAACGAGAUAGUGUCACAGAAACUAUACCGCCCGGCACAUAUUUGGUAUGUAUUCGCAUAUCAAAUAUGUGCCGGGUAAGGGUGAAAAGAGGUGAGGUAAGAGCUCACAGCCGGCAUUGGCAACAAUAUCGGGUGAAAAACACUUAUCCGGUGCAAUCCUGUGCCUUGCAUUACUUAAUGUAAGGAAGGAGCUUGAUCGUACAAGUAAUUGUACGACUAGAUAGAUGAUCAUCGCCAAUUUUAUAUUCUGUAUAAAAUUGGUACAGAACCCGGCUUAUAGAUAUACGCACGU
rnacentral:RNase_P_RNA from 1 species